rnacentral:rRNA from 1 species
GUAGUGAAGCUGCGGCCCCUUCCUGUCGAGAAAAGCCGCUAUCGUGUAGCAAGGGCCCGUACCGUAAACCGACACAGGUGGAUGAGGAGAGGAUCCUAAGGCCGGCGGGAGAAGUGUUGUUAAGGAACUCGGCAAAAUGACUCCGUAACUUCGGGAGAAGGAGUGCUGCGCAAGCAGCCGCAGAGAAAUGGCCCAAGCAACUGUUUAGCAAAAACACAGGUCUAUGCGAAACCGGAAGGUGAGGUAUAUGGGCUGACGCCUGCCCGGUGCUGGAAGGUUAAGGGGAGAGCUUAGCGCGAGCGAAGGUUUGAACUUAAGCCCCAGUAAACGGCGGCCGUAACGAUAACGGUCCUAAGGUAGCGAAAUUCCUUGUCGGGUAAGUUCCGACCCGCACGAAAGGCGUAAUGACUUGGGCACUGUCUCAACAACACACCCGGUGAAAUUGAAAUACCAGUGAAGAUGCUGGUUACCCGCGCCAGGACGGAAAGACCCCAUGGAGCUUUACUCCAGCCUGAUACUGGGAUUCGGUAUUGCAUGUACAGGAUAGGUGGGAGGCUAAGAACUCAUGGCGCCAGCCGUGAGGGAGCCGGUGCUGGGAUACCACCCCUGCAGUACUGGGUUUCUAACCUGCGCCCGUGACCCGGGCGGGGGACAAUGUCAGGCGGGGAGUUUGACUGGGGCGGUCGCCUCCGAAAGGGUAUCGGAGGCGCUCAAAGGUCUCCUCAGGAUGGUUGGAAACCAUCCAGAGAGUGCAAAGGCAGAAGGAGGCUUGACUGCGACACCGACGGGUGGAGCAGGUACGAAAGUAGGACUUAGUGAUCCGGUGGCAUAAAGUGGGAUUGCCAUCGCUCAACGGAUAAAGGCUACCCUGGGAUAACAGGCUUAUCACUCCCAAGAGUUCACAUCGACGGAGUGGUUUGGCACCUCGAUGUCGGCUCAUCGCAUCCUGGAGCUGGAGCAGGUUCCAAGGGUUGGGCUGUUCGCCCAUUAAAGCGGUACGCGAGCUGGGUUCAGAACGUCGUGAGACAGUUCGGUCCCUAUCCGGCGCGGGCGCAGGAUAUCUGAGAGGAGCUGUCCUUAGUACGAGAGGACCGGGAUGGACCGUCCGCUGGUGGACCGGUUGUCAUGCCAAUGGCACGGCCGGGUAGCCAAGACGGGAAGGGAUAAACGCUGAAGGCAGCUAAGCGUGAAGCCCCCCUCAAGAUGAGAUAUCCAUACG